UACAGAGGGUGCAAGCGUUGUUCGGAAUUAUUGGGCGUAAAGCGCGUGUAGGCGGCUUUGCAAGUCGGGUGUGAAAGCCCUCAGCUCAACUGAGGAAGUGCGCCCGAAACUGCAGAGCUUGAGUACCGGAGAGGAUGGCGGAAUUCCCCAAGUAGAGGUGAAAUUCGUAGAUAUGGGGAGGAAUACCGGUGGCGAAGGCGGCAUCCUGGACCGGCAUUGACGCUGAGGAGCGAAAGCCAGGGGAGCAAACGGG
rnacentral:rRNA from 1 species